GCAGAACGCGAAGAACCUUACCUGGGCUCGAAAUGCAGAUGACCAUCGGCGAAAGUCGACUUCCGCAAGGACAUCUGUAUAGGUGCUGCAUGGCUGUCGUCAGCUCGUGUCGUGAGAUGUUGGGUUAAGUCCCGCAACGAGCGCAACCCUUGUUCUCUGUUGCCAUCAGGUAAAGCUGGGCACCCUGAGGAGACUGCCGGUGACAAACCGGAGGAAGGUGGGGAUGACGUCAAGUCAGCAUGGCCUUUAUGUCCAGGGCUACACACGUGCUACAAUGGCCGGUACAAAGCGCUGCAAGCCCGCGAGGGCAAGCCAAUCGCAUAAAGCCGGUCUCAGUUCGGAUUGCAGGCUGCAACUCGGCUGCGUGAAGUCGGAAUCGCUAGUAAUCGCGGAUCAGCAUGUCGCGGUGAAUACGUUCCCGGGUCUUGUACACACCG
rnacentral:rRNA from 1 species